ACAAGACCGACAACGCCGUCGCGCGCGCCCAGAAGGAGGGCCUCGGCGAUAACCUCGUCGGCUUCAAGGACAUGGGCGAGUUCGUCCAGUCCCUCGCGAAGCCCCGCUGCGUGAUCAUCCUCGUCAAGGCUGGCGCCCCGGUGGACGCCACGAUCGAGGGCCUCGCGCAGCACAUGGAGCCCGGCGACAUCAUCAUCGACGGCGGUAACGAGUGGUACGAGAACACCGAGCGCCGCGCCAAGGCGCUGGAGGAGAAGGGCCUGCUGUACA
rnacentral:lncRNA from 1 species